rnacentral:rRNA from 1 species
GAUGAACGCUGGCGGCGUGCUUAACACAUGCAAGUCGAACGGUGAACGAGGGAGCUUGCUCCCUCCGGAUCAGUGGCGAACGGGUGAGUAACACGUGAGCAAUCUGCCCUGGACUCUGGGAUAAGCGUUGGAAACGACGUCUAAUACCGGAUACGAGGCGUGGGGGCAUCCCCAACGCCUGGAAAGAACUUCGGUCCAGGAUGAGCUCGCGGCCUAUCAGCUAGGUGGUGAGGUAACGGCUCACCAAGGCGACGACGGGUAGCCGGCCUGAGAGGGUGACCGGCCACACUGGGACUGAGACAGUGCCCAGACUCCUACGGGAGGCAGCAGUGGGGAAUAUUGCACAAUGGGCGCAAGCCUGAUGCAGCAACGCCGCGUGAGGGACGACGGCCUUCGGGUUGUAAACCUCUUUUAGCAGGGAAGAAGCGAAAGUGACGGUACCUGCAGAAAAAGCACCGGCUAACUACGUGCCAGCCGCCGCAGUAAGAC